CCUACGGGUGGCAGCAGUGGGGAAUAUUGCACAAUGGGGGAAACCCUGAUCCAGCGACGCCGCGUGAGUGAAGAAGUAUCUCGGUAUGUAAAGCUCUAUCAGCAGGGAAAUAAAUGACGGUACCUGAUCCAGAAGCCCUGGAUAACUACGUGCCAGCAGCCGCGGUAAUACGUAAGGGGCAAGCGUUAUCCGGAUUUACUGGGUGUAAAGGGAGCGUAGACGGCAGCGCAAGUCUGAAGUGAAAUGCCGGGGCUUAACCCCGGAACUGCUUUUGAAACUGUGCAGCUAGAGUGCAGGAGAGGUAAGUGGAAUUCCUAGUGUAGCGGUGAAAUGCGUAGAUAUUAGGAGGAACACCAGUUGCGAAGGCGGCUUACUGGACUGUAACUGACGUUGAGGCUCGAAAGCGUGGGGAGCAAACAGGAUUAGAUACCCCGGUAGUC
rnacentral:rRNA from 1 species